GCAGCGGUUGGGGCGGUUAGCGGGGCGGUUAGCAGCGGUUGGCGGGGCGCGGCGGUUGGGGCGGUUAGCAGGGCAGUUGGGGCGGUUGGCGGCGCGCGGCGAGCUUAAAGAGAUUGAAUAUUUGACCAACGUGUGUCCUUGAAUGCUACUUCUUUGUGUCUGCUGAAUGGUUUAACUGGCAGCUUCGUGCUAACACGUUAGCCGUAACUUUAAAGAUAAGAUGAAUGUGACAAAAUUAUCUAACGUGUGUUUAGCCUGUUAUGUUUUUUUUUUUUAUAUUGUCUGUCUCUGGUGUUUGACGUUACUCCAAAAUAAUAUGCAGUGAAAUCAUUCAGCGGGGACUUAUUCUACAAAACUAAAUGAGCGGAUAAACGCUGCUUUGAAGACGCUCUUUGUCUUUUUGGGAAAUGAAGGUGUGACUUUUGGGGAAACGAGAGCCCAGCAGUAAUCACACAGCCGAAAUAAGAGGUGAAUGAAAUGCAGCUUCAUUAGCUCUGCUGAUUAAUGAAUUAAUCAUUUAAAUGUUAAUUAAAAGGGGGUUGCUCACUGGUUAGCGCUGUUAGCAUGCAGCGCGUCCUAUGAUUCUCUUCUGAGUCACCACGUCUUCCCUCCGUCAACCUUCCCAGGAUUUGGAGGUAGGAAAUUGGCGGCAGGUGUAAAUAACUUUUUGUGUGCAUUCUUUCAUUUAAUAAGUCAGGGGAUGCAAUUUUGGGAUCUUUUACAACAACCCUUAUUCUGUGACCAUGAUGUGCUUUUUAAUUCAUUUACAUCAAUUGUUUGGAAUUAUGAAAACAAGGGAUGCAACUCAGGUUAUUUUCAGAUGUUUUUCUUCUUUAAAAUGGUACAGAAUAAAUUGCCCAUCAAAGGUUUUUUUUAGGGCUGCAGCUAAAUUUCUUAAUGUCGUAAUCUCGUAAAAUUGUGUGAAAAGAACAAAUGUGUUCACUUUACUAUAAAUGAACAAAUAAAUCUUGUAUUAGUCGUACAUUCAAGACGGAGGGAUUAAUCCAAUAAUCAAUUUAUUGCAUUAUUUUGUUCCAGGAUUUACAAAACAACUUUUAUAACUAGAAAUUACGUUUUUAAUGGUUUCAGCAAUCGAUUGGCUGUAAUAAUAUCUAAAGUGGGACAUCAAUACUUGAGGCCUCUGAUGUGUGAGACAUUAUUAAUCUGAAGGAUGUGAUCCCAAACUGUAAAUUAAAUAAUUAUGCUGCGACCGUAAUGAAGGCGGCUGGGAAAUAUCUUCUGCUUGCUCAGCUCUCAGUAACCCACUAAUAUGAUCAUGUGUGUUCUGCAAACACUAAACACAUUCAAGUGACCUUAACCAACAUGUUCACAUGAUUUCCAUUUUUAUGUCCGUGUGGAUCCAGCAGUUGUCAAUAAAAUACAUUUGCCAUUUGAA
ensembl:lncRNA